CCUACGGGAGGCAGCAGUGGGGAAUCUUGCGCAAUGGGCGAAAGCCUGACGCAGCCAUGCCGCGUGAAUGAUGAAGGUCUUAGGAUUGUAAAAUUCUUUCACCGGGGACGAUAACGACGGUACCCGGAGAAGAAGCCCCGGCUAACUUCGUGCCAGCAGCCGCGGUAAUACGAAGGGGGCUAGCGUUGCUCGGAAUUACUGGGCGUAAAGGGAGCGUAGGCGGACAUUUAAGUCAGGGGUGAAAUCCCGGGGCUCAACCUCGGAAUUGCCUUUGAUACUGGGUGUCUUGAGUAUGAGAGAGGUGUGUGGAACUCCGAGUGUAGAGGUGAAAUUCGUAGAUAUUCGGAAGAACACCAGUGGCGAAGGCGACACACUGGCUCAUUACUGACGCUGAGGCUCGAAAGCGUGGGGAGCAAACAGGAUUAGAUACCCUGGUAGUCCACGCCGUAAACGAUGAUUGCUAGUUGUCGGGAUGCAUGCAUUUCGGUGACGCAGCUAACGCAUUAAGCAAUCCGCCUGGGGAGUACGGUCGCAAGAUUAAAACUCAAAGGAAUUGACGG
rnacentral:rRNA from 1 species